rnacentral:rRNA from 1 species
UACAGAGGGGGCAAGCGUUGUUCGGAAUUACUGGGCGUAAAGGGCGCGUAGGCGGCCUGCUAAGUCGAACGUGAAAUCCCCGGGCUUAACCCGGGAACUGCGUCCGAUACUGGCAGGCUUGAAUCCGGGAGAGGGAUGCGGAAUUCCAGGUGUAGCGGUGAAAUGCGUAGAUAUCUGGAGGAACACCGGUGGCGAAGGCGGCAUCCUGGACCGGUAUUGACGCUGAGGCGCGAAAGCCAGGGGAGCAGACGGG